CACAUGCAGUCGAACGGAAAGGCUGCAGCUUGCUGCGGGUACUCGAGUGGCGAGAGGGGUGAGUAACACGUGGGUGAUCUGCCUUGCACUUCGGGAUAAGCUUGGGAAACUGGGUCUAAUACCGGAUAGGACAGCUGUUUAGUGUCAGUUGUGGAAAGUUUUUUCGGUGCAAGAUGAGCUCGCGGCCUAUCAGCUUGUUGGUGGGGUAAUGGCCUACCAAGGCGUCGACGGGUAGCCGGCCUGAGAGGGUGUACGGCCACAUUGGGACUGAGAUACGGCCCAGACUCCUACGGGAGGCAGCAGUGGGGAAUAUUGCACAAUGGGCGGAAGCCUGAUGCAGCGACGCCGCGUGGGGGAUGAAGGCCUUCGGGUUGUAAACUCCUUUCGACAGGGACGAAGCGUAAGUGACGGUACACUGUAUAAGAAGCCACCGGGGCUUAACUUACGUUGCCAAGCAAGGCCCGCGGGUAA
rnacentral:rRNA from 1 species